UAGAUGGCAGUAGUGGCUUUACUAGUAGGUGACCGCUGUUAUUCUUCCCUUGAAAGACGUUAGCCAGGAAGGAAGACAGAGGACAGCAGCAGCAAAAAGAGAGUCUGAUAUUCGUCGAAGACUGUCUUCUUUCUGUGUUUGCAGAUGGAUGCUGUGUUGAGUGGCAGAUAUAAGCAGUCUGUCAUGUGUGUCUUGGUAAGUCAUUUAAUUUUAUGACAGUUUUAGUGAUAUUGUGUAAUUUGCUGAACUACUUUUGGCUGUAAUCGUGGUUUUCAACAGACGUUAGCCCAGUCUAAGCCUACGACAGUUAGGAUGGCAGCAAACAAAAAAGAUGACAUUCAUCCAAGACUACUGUGUUUGCAGGUGUAAAAAGUGCACAAGUGCACUUUAUACAUUUGGGUUAAGUUUAUUCUUGUAUGUUUGUGAACAUAAAAACAUGUUCAGGGAGUCAUUUAUGUUAGAAAAUAAAGUAGCUACCCAAUGCUAGCUUAAUUAGCUACUCUAGCCAUGUUGUGCACGCUAACGUUAGCUGAAAAGCUUUAAAGUGGUGAAUUGAAUUUAUUAUUGUGAAAAAUGCAGUCUUCUGUGUGUCUUGGUAAGUCAUUUAAUUCUAUGUUUUAGUUAUAUUGUGUAACUUCCUGCAUUACAUUUGGUCAUAAUCCUGUUUUCUGAAGAAGUUACCGUAAACUCAGUCUGAGCAUAAGACAAGACAACAGCAAACAAGAAAGCCCAUAAGCCCAUAUUUAUCGAAGACUACGGUGUUUACAGGUGAGAAAAGUGCACCAUAUACAUUCAAAGUUUAUUCUCAUAUGUUGUGCCAUGUUUUUAUGUUUAGGGAGCUAUUUAUGUUUGAAAAUAAGCUUGCUAAUGCUAUCUUAACUAAUUAGGGCUGAAACUAGGCAUGUUGUACACACUAAUGUUAGCUGUAUGGCUUUACUGUAGUAAACUGAUGUUAUAACUGUAUUCCAAUGUGAGAAGAUGAAGUUUCAAAAACAAAUGCAGUGUUCACGUUGCGAUGUAAGCAGACUUUUGUAGUAGCAUAUUAGAAAAUAAAGCCACUAACUAACGCUAGCUUAAUUAGCUACUGUAGCCAUGUGUUAACGUUAGCUGUAUAGCUUUAAAGUGGUGAACUGAAUUUAUUAUUGUGUAAGAUGUUGUAAUGUUACAGAAACAUGCUAACGUUAUGUUCAGUGGCUGAUAUAAGCAGUCUUUUGUGUGUGCCUUGGUACGGCAUUUAAUUUCAUGACAGUUGAGUGAGUUGUAUUGUGUGACUUGCUGAAUUUCUUUUGGCUGUAAUCCUGGUUUUCGUUGGAAGUUAGCCCAGCCUGAGCAUACGAUAGUCAGGAUAGCAUCAAACAAGAAAGCCCAUAUUCAUUCAAAACCACAGUUUUUACAGGUUAGUGCAAAAUUGCACCAUAUACAUUCAAAGUUCAUUCUCAUUUGUAUUACCUUGUUUUAAUGUUUGUGGAAUCAUUUAUGUUCAAACAUAAGACAGCUAACUAAUGCUAUCUUAACUAGCUAGGGCCGACUCUAAGCAUGCUGUGCACUCUAAUGUUAGCUGUAUGGCUUUACCCAAGUAAACUGAUCUUGGUCUUAUUUUUCAUGUAAGAUGUAAUGUUACGGACAAAUACAUUAUUCACUGGCUGAUGUAGGCAGUCUUUUGUAGUAGUAGUAGUAGUAGUAGUAGUAGGCUGCACAUUUCAUAUUGUGUCUUGGUAGUUUAUUUCAUUUUAUGAAAAUUUUAGUGAUAUUGUUAAUCUCAGCGAAUUACUUUUCUCUGUAAUCCUAGUUUUCAAAGGAAGUUAACCAGUCUGAGCGUUAUCUGACCAGGAUAACAGCAAACAAGAAAGCACAUAUUCAUCCAAGACAAUGGUAUUUACAUGUAAGAAAAGUGCACAACUGCACCAUAUACAGUAUCUCACAUAAGUGAGUACACCCCUCCCAUUUUUGGAAUUAUUUUAUUAUAUCUUUUCAUGGGACAACACUAUAAUGACACUUUGAUAUAACUUAAAGUAGUUAGUGUACAGCUUGUAUAGUAGUAUACAUUUACCUUCCUCUGAAAAUUACUCAAAACACAGCCAUCAAAAUCUAAACAGCUGGCAACACAAGUGAGUACACCCCACAGUGAACAUGUCCAAAUUGUGCCUAAAGUGUCAAUAUUUUGUGUGCCAACCAUUAUUAUCUAGCACUGCCUUAGCCCUUUUGGGCAUGGAAUUCACCAGAGCUCACAGGUUGCUUCAGGAAUCCUCUCCCACUCCUCCAUGAUGACAUCAUGGAACAGAUGGAUGUGAAGACACCUUGCGCUCCUCCACCUUCAGCUUGAGGAUGCCCCACAGGUGCACAGGAACUUGAAUUGAGGAAUAAUCUGAUGUUAAGAGGAAUACUCCCCACUCUUCCAGAAGCUUUGAUAAGGCCUCCUCUCCAAACAGCAGCUGGAAGUCUUAUAGGACCAAUCCCUUUGUGUCAAGGAAUCUUGGGAAGACUGUGAGCACUGUGCUGGAUUUCUCGGGAUCAUGAAUCACUUCUGUCUGUACU